rnacentral:rRNA from 1 species
AGCAGCCGCGGUAAUUCCAGCUCCAAUAGCGUAUAUUAAAGUUGUUGCAGUUAAAAAGCUCGUAGUUGAAUUUCGGGAUCAGUUCGCUGGUCGUGCCUCUGGUAUGUACUGGUGUUACUGGUUCCUCCCUUCUGACGAACUGUCAUGUCAUUUAUUUGGUGUGGCAGGGAAUCAGGACUGUUACUUUGAAAAAAUUAGAGUGUUUAAAGCAGGCUCGCGCUUGAAUACAUUAGCAUGGAAUAAUGAAAUAGGACGUUCGAUCCUAUUUUGUUGGUUUCUAGGAUUGACGUAAUGAUUAAUAGGGAUAGUUGGGGGCAUUAGUAUUCAAUUGUCAGAGGUGAAAUUCUUGGAUUUAUUGAAGACUAACUACUGCGAAAGCAUUUGCCAAGGAUGUUUUCAUUAAUCAAGAACGAAAGUUAGGGGAUCGAAGACGAUCAGAUACCGUCGUAGUCUUAACCAUAAACUAUGCCGACUAGGGAUCGGAUGAUGUUAUUUUUAAUGACUCAUUC